rnacentral:tRNA from 1 species
CAUCUUUGAGAAACAUCUUAAUACUAUUAGUAUUACAGAAUUUAAUAAUUCCUCAAAAUAU